GUGCUCACUUUUGUGGCAAGUGUAUUAAAAUUGGAAUGAUACAGAGAAAAUGAGCAUGGCCCCUGUGUAAGGAUGACAUGAAAAUUCAUAGGUCACUUUCCUAUGUUC